rnacentral:lncRNA from 1 species
CUUCGCGACCUCGGGGGGCGGCGGGCACGCGACCCGCUUGCAGGCCGGGGCCUCCCGCUCUAGCGCACCUCCGACGCGUGCAGCUCGCACCGCGGGACCUCGCUGCCAGACAGGUAGAAGCCGGCGUCCAUCUGGAGGUCGCACGAACGCUUGAAACACUGGUCCGCGGACACCGGCGACCACCGCCCGCUGGGCCUGCAAAGCGCCAGGGUGAGAAUCUCCUGGCGACGCAGGUACCCCGGCCUGCACCGGAAGUCCACCCGUUCCCCGACAUCGUAGGCGGCUUUGGUCGUGCCCACCAGCUCCAUAUUGGGGAGUCUCAGGGCGCAGGUGCCCGAGUGGAGACGCCUCUGAAGCUUUCCCCAUGGCUGGUUCCUGGUUUCCUGCACCCCCGAGCAUGGGGCCCCUAGUGAGGAUUUUAAGGAAGGUUGGCUUGCACUUCCUCAUCAAGCUGUUGCACCUGAACACAUGGAAAUAGUGUUCCCACCCCAGGCCUCCUGACAGUGCCCUCCCUGUUCACCCAGCACACCUUGCUGAGCAGUCAGUGUACUUCCUCCUCCUUGAAUUUGUGUGUUGCUCUGCUGGUGUCCAGUGUUUACAUCACACUGGAGGAUUCACAGACCUCAAGCUGAAAUCUGAGAGCGUCCUUUUCCAAGCUAGCUCCAUCUCCUUCUCCUGCAAUUUGCUUCAGCCAUUGUAUAUUUUAUCGCUGUGAGACACAGACUUCCAUCUGUAUCUACUCAUAGCCUGAGAAAUGUUGUAGUCAUUUCAAUUUUCCAUAUCAAUCAGUCUGACAGUGUUUACUUCCUAAGUAAAUUAUGUUUCAAAGCUACAGAAUAAAGCAUGAGACAAUAUGUAUUUGACUGUGAACCUAAGUAAUCUUUGGAAAUUCCUUUCUUCUUCAUUCUUUUUAGAACUUUUACUAGUAUUGCUAGUGAGAGUUUCAUAUUUAUUUCAGGAACUUGUGUCUAUUUUGAGAUCUGUUAUUAGCUUCUUUCGCCUCUUCCAGCUUUAUUGAAAUAUAACUGACUAAUAAAAUUAUAUAGAUUUAUAGGGAACAUUAUAUUUCAGGCACAUUAUCAUACAAUUACCACAAUCACAUCAUUGUGAUACAUAUCACUCACAAUGUUGCUUUCUGUUUUUGAUCAGAAUACUUACGAUUUACUAUCAGCAAAUCUUAUGUAUUUCAUAUCGUACACAGUGUAGUAUAGGAGCCGUAGUCACUGUCUUGUUCACUAUUACCCCAACGUUUGUCCCGAUGCAUGGCUGAAAACUUAACCUUGACCAGAGGUCUCCUCACUGCCCUCCGUCCCACCUGGGCACAAUCACCAUUUUGCCCUCUGUGAUUUCACCUUUUCAGGAGGUCAUGUUUAACACUUUUAGCCUUUCCAACACUGGCUGUCAAGAGCAUGCACUAUUGCAAAUGCGAUUAUUUCCUUUCUUGAAGGUUAAAUAAUAUUCACUCAUCUAUGUGUGAUAUUUUCUUAUCCUUUCAUCUACCAGUGAACCCUGGUUCCUAUGGUGGCUCUAUUCUGAAUUUUGAAGAAUCUUCACCACUGUCUUUGAUAAUGGUGAUAACAAUUUGCGUUUCCACCAACUGAGAACAAGGGUUUCCCUUUGUCCAAUUCCUGUCAACAACGCAUGUUAUCUUCCACCAUUUGUGAAAGAUACUAAUGGCCCUUCUAACAGUUGUGAGAGGUUCUCUCUCUGUCAUUUUGGCUUGAGUUUCCCUAAUUAUUUGAGUGAGGAGAAUUUUUUCAAGUAUUUCUUGAACAUUUUUUGUAUGCCUUAUUUUUGAGAAAUGUUUUUUAAGGUGCUUUACUGAUAUGUCCUUCCUAUGACACAAGUCAUCUUUCCACACAGUUUACUUUUUUCCUUUGCUUUUCAGUAGAGUUUUGAUGCUGUCAGGUUUUUCUAUUUCUGAUUUUGUUGCUCAUGAUGUUGUAAUCAAAUUUAAAAAAUAAUUGUCACUGAAUCUACAUUUUAUAAUAAAUGAACAUUUUACUAUAUUAAUUUUUAAU